GCUGGUAUUGAUGGAUGAUAUAGGUCUCACUCUGCUGGUAUUGAUGGAUGGCAUAGGUCUCACACUCUGCUGGUAUUGAUGGAUGGUAUUGGUCUCACACUCUGCUGGUAUUGAUGGAUGGUAUAGGUCUCACACUCUGCUGGUAUUGAUGGAUGGUACAGGUCUCACUCUGCUGGUAUUGAUGGAUGGUAUAGGUCUCACUCUGCUGGUAUUGAUGGAUGGUAUAGGUCUCACACUCUGCUGGUAUUGAUGGAUGGUACAGGUCUCACUCUGCUGGUAUUGAUGGCUGGUAAAGGUCUCACACUCUGCUGGUAUUGAUGGCUGGUAUAGGUCUCACACUCUGCUGGUAUUGAUGGAUGGUAUAGGUCUCACACUCUGCUGGUAUUGAUGGUUGGUAUAGGUCUCACUCUGCUGGUAUUGAUGGAUGGUAUAGGUCUCACUCUGCUGGUAUUGAUGGAUGGUAUAGGUCUCACUCUGCUGGUAUUGAUGGAUGGUAUAGGUCUCACUCUGCUGGUAUUGAUGGCUGGUAUAGGUCUCACUCUGCUGGUAUUGAUGGAUGGUAUAGGUCUCACUCUGCUGGUAUUGAUGGAUGGUACAGGUCUCACUCUGCUGGUAUUGAUGACUGGUAUAGGUCUCACUCUGCUGGUAUUGAUGGAUGGUAUAGGUCUCACACUCUGCUGGUAUUGAUGGCUGGUAUAGGUCUCACACUCUGCUGGUAUUGAUGGAUGGUAUAGGUCUCACACUCUGCUGGUAUUGAUGGAUGGUAUAGGUCUCACUCUGCUGGUAUUGAUGGAUGGUAUAGGUCUCACACUCUGCUGGUAUUGAUGGAUGGUAUAGGUCUCACACUCUGC
rnacentral:lncRNA from 1 species